rnacentral:rRNA from 1 species
AUCAACAGACAGAGCCAGCUCUCCCUGCAGUUCUCUCACUGAAGCUAAGCAGGGUUGAGGCUGGCCAGUAUCUGGAUGGGAAACCUCCUGGAAAAAACUAAGGUUGCUGUUGGAA